CUGGAUCUUCUAGGAAAGUUACUUCUCAUUUCCUUGGAGAGUUUCUGAAAGCGACCCUUUCUCCCUUUGCUUGGCUAUUGCUGUUCAGAUCCAAGGCCCGACACUGCUGUAACCAUCAGCACAAGCUUGAAGAUGAUGCUGACACAGACGACAGCAAAGCCAGUCAAGUCACAAGCACAUGGAGUCACAGGCACUGGAUUUAAUACUUUUGAAGCAGGUUCUACCUCAGGGCCUUCAGUGAGGUGAAUCGAUCAAUUUCCAGGAUAAUAUGCAACAGACCCUGAAGAAUUGCUAAGAAUUCAGAUUCCUGGGCCCAAUCUGAAACCUACUGAAUCAGCAUCAAGAUCUCUAGGGUGGGGCACAGUGGGAUGUGCCUAUAGUCCAAGAUACUUGGAAGGCUGAGUGAGGAGGAUCUCUUAAGCCCAGGAGUUCAAGUCCAGCCUGGGUAAUAUAAUGAGACCCUGUCCUUAAAAAAACCAAAAACCAAAAAAAUGUCCCUAGGUUACCUUUAUGUAAGCUGUAAUUCACUUUAUAUAUUGUCUACCUAGGCCACAAUGCCAACAAUGUAAGUUUUUUUUUUUUAAAUAAAAGUCACUUACAACAUUUAAAAAAUAAAGUAUCAUUCAUCUUGG